AUUGGACGCUGGCGGCAGGCCUAACACAUGCAAGUCGAGCGGAUGACGGGAGCUUGCUCCUUGAUUCAGCGGCGGACGGGUGAGUAAUGCCUAGGAAUCUGCCUGGUAGUGGGGGACAACGUUUCGAAAGGAACGCUAAUACCGCAUACGUCCUACGGGAGAAAGCAGGGGACCUUCGGGCCUUGCGCUAUCAGAUGAGCCUAGGUCGGAUUAGCUAGUAGGUGAGGUAAUGGCUCACCUAGGCGACGAUCCGUAGCUGGUCUGAGAGGAUGAUCAGUCACACUGGAACUGAGACACGGUCCAGACUCCUACGGGAGGCAGCAGUGGGGAAUAUUGGACAAUGGGCGAAAGCCUGAUCCAGCCAUGCCGCGUGUGUGAAGAAGGUCUUCGGAUUGUAAAGCACUUUAAGUUGGGAGGAGGGGUUGUACGUUAAUACCGUGCAAUUUUGACGUUACCGACAGAAUAAGCACCGGCUAACUCUGUGCCAGCAGCCGCAGUAA
rnacentral:rRNA from 1 species